GUCCCCUUGGUCCGCACGGGCGAGCUUUUUCUCUCCCAUUGUCGGCCAAGGUGAGUCUCCACCGUUCCUCCCUCGAUCUUGAGUGUUUCCUCUAGAUCUUUCAUGGUUUUAACAAGGUUUCAUCUUGCUUUGAAGUUUUUGAGCUUUUGAAUCGAGUUUUGAGCAAGUUUUGAGCUUGGAGGCCUAAGGAGCUAGAUUUCUCCCAAACUCCAAGUUAGAUCGCCUCUAUUCUCGAUCUUCAAGAGGUAAGAGUCGAUCUUGAACUCUUGUAAUGUUUUAAAUAAGUUUCAUGCAAGAUUCAUGGGAUUAAAGGCAUGUUUAGUUCAUGUGUAGGUUUAUGGGUUUAUGUUGUGAUUUUGAGCAAUGUAGCUUGAUUGUGUAUGAAUGAAGUGUUGUAGAUGGGGUAUAUGCAUGUUUGAGGCCCCUAGGAACGUGUAUGCAUGCUUUGGUUGAGAAAUAUGCAUGAUUUAUGGUUUUGGGAGGCAGGAGGUUCAUUUGAACCAAGUUUCUGCCGUUUGGCAGAAACCAGGUUCGGCAGCCGAAGGGAGUUUCGGCCGCCGAACCCCUCUUGUGGAGGCAGCUUUCGGCUGCCGAAGGUGCCCCCGAAAAGAGACUUUCGUCUCUGUCUGGCACUUUCGGCCGCCGAAGGUGCCGCCGAACCUAGCUGAGUUUCGUCUCUGUCCAGGACUUUCGGCCGCCGAAGGUGCCGCCGAAGGUGCCCUGUUCAGCCAUUUCAUGCAUAUUUUCUGUGAUGUUUUCAUGAUGUUUUAAGGGGUUUUUGGGGGAUAUAUUAGCGUUAUGUUUGUUUAUGUUUGGUCCCUCAUUGGAGUCCACCUGUGUAGGUUCGGACCCGAGGAACCGAGGACCCCAGCAGUGAGUGAGCUGCUUCAGUGUCUGGUCAGAGCUAGCCAGGGGUGAGUGGAAACAAGCUUAAUGUUUUAAAUCAAGCAAUUAAAUGUUUUGAGCAUGUUUCAUGCAUCAUGAUGACAUGUAAUAGGCAGAUUGCAUUAGUUCACGAAUAUGUCGCAUUGCAUUUUAUUUUGUGGUUGUGGGUGAAUGCUGUAUGAUCCAAUUAGUCCACGAGACUUAAUAUAUGAUAUGACAGGAAGACCAGGACCCCAUGCUACGGCCUGGCACGAGACUUAAUAUAUGAUAUGACAGGAAGACCAGGACCCCAUGCUACGGCCUGGCACGAGACUUAAUAUAUGAUAUGACAGGAAGACCAGGACCCCAUGCUACGGCCUGGCACGAGACUAUAUUGAGACUAAUUGGUGACAGAUUCACCCUUGAUGUGAAUUGUCUGUGAUAUGAUGCAUUUCAUGAAAGCAUGAACUUUGAUAUAAUGUUUUUUUUAGUUUCUGCUCACUGGGCUUUUAGCUCACCCCUCUCCCCUAACCCCCAGGUUUGCAGGUACGGGAUUGAUAGAGAAGAAAAGAAGAGAAAAGUCAUAUGUAUGUAAUAGCUAGAGUAUGUGGACAUGACAAAUGAUAAGAAUGUAAUGUAAAGUUUUGAACAGUUAUGUUUAUGUAA
rnacentral:lncRNA from 1 species